rnacentral:rRNA from 1 species
GACGAACGCUGGCGGCGUGCCUAACACAUGCAAGUCGAACGGAAAGGCCCUGCUUUUGUGGGGUGCUCGAGUGGCGAACGGGUGAGUAACACGUGAGUAACCUGCCCUUGACUUUGGGAUAACUUCAGGAAACUGGGGCUAAUACCGGAUAGGAGCUCCUGCUGCAUGGUGGGGGUUGGAAAGUUUCGGCGGUUGGGGAUGGACUCGCGGCUUAUCAGCUUGUUGGUGGGGGAGUGGCUUACCAAGGCUUUGACGGGUAGCCGGCCUGGGAGGGUGGCCGGCCACAUUGGGACUGAGAUACGGCCCAGACUCCUACGGGAGGCAGCAGUGGGGAAUAUUGCACAAUGGGCGGAAGCCUGAUGCAGCAACGCCGCGUGCGGGAUGACGGCCUUCGGGUUGUAAACCGCUUUCGCCUGUGACGAAGCGUGAGUGACGGUAAUGGGUAAAGAAGCACCGGCUAACUACGUG